CCUACGGGUGGCAGCAGUGAGGAAUUUUUGUCAAUGGGCGAGCGCCUGAACCAGCCAAGUCGCGUGGAGGAUGAAGGUUCUCUGGUUUGUAAACUUCUUUUAUAUGGGAAUAAAGUGAGGAACGUGUUUCUUUUUGUAUGUACCAUAUGAAUACGCAUCGGCUAACUCCGUGCCAGCAGCCGCGGUAAUACGGAGGAUGCGUGCGUUAUCCGGAUUUAUUGGGUUUAAAGGGUGCGUAGGUGGUUAAUUAAGUCAGCUGUGAAAGUUUGUGGCUCAACCAUAAUAUUGCGUUUGAAACUGGUUGACUUGAGUAUAUUUGAGGUAAGCGGAAUGCGUGGUGUAGCGGUGAAAUGCAUAGAUAUCACGCAGAACACCGAUUGCGAAGGCAGCUUACUAAACUAUAACUGACACUGAGGCACGAAAGCGUGGGGAGCAAACAGGAUUAGAUACCCUUGUAGUC
rnacentral:rRNA from 1 species